ensembl:lncRNA
UGAUUUUUAACUAUAUAAAAUCUUGUUUGAGGCUGGAGCCAACGUUUUUUUUUUUCGCUUUGAAGAUCAAAGGGACCUCAAAAAACGUGUCCCAACAUGCAGACGGGUGUUUCACGUGUCUAGUUCACGUGUCUAGCUAUCCAUCAGAUUCUAUGACCUGCAGUGUUGGAAAAAUUACUAAUUUACUUAGGUAAAAGUAUGUAAGUAUUACCAUUACUAUUAUUACCAAGUUAAAGCUAAAGUACAAAAUUAGCAGAAAAUCGGGGUGUGACUGAUAUAUAUGAAAUACAUUUAAGUGCAUCAUUGAAUACUUAUGAGUCGGUGCAUAAGCAGCCGAUUUUCUGGAAAGUAGCACUUUUUCCAAUACUGCAGGUCACAGAAUCGACUUUUUACCGUUCUUGCUUAAAUGUUUAUUUACUUUCUCAAACUUCAUUGCAUGUCUCAGUCAAAAUGCUGGUCCAGGUGAAGUACAGCCAACAGCAGAAGUAUGUAAAGUUGGAUGAGGAUGAAGGACUGUUUGACUUUCUGCAAUUCCAUGAAAAAGUUGAUAGAAGCUGUGCUAAGAGGCAAGUCUGGAGGUGAAGAAGUACUACAGAAGUACCAAACAACAGAAACCCUAACAGAUGCUGCAAGAAGACAAAUGGUUAAUUUCCUGGUGGCUCACAUGAUUGACAAUCAUGGGCACUGCCCCACUAAAACAAUCAGAGAAGAUUAUGCACGUGGGAUAGUGAUGCUGUUCCCUUCCCUUAAGGAUCCAUACUCCAAGAAGGGCUAUGAACACUUCUAUGAUGCUGCAAGCAGCACAGGAUACAUUUCUUGGCGUCUGAAAACAGUCCAGAGGAAGAUUCGUCAAGGAUCUGCACAGCCACUCUUUCAUCUCCUUCCACCACCUCCAGGGGGACUGAAGUCUCCAAAAAUUAGUGCAUGUGAUGCAGUUGAAAGACUUGUUGUAUUUCAUAAGUCAUGCUGCAGUUUGGAGGAGCAUCUCCGCAACCAGCAGGGUCGGCAGCCGUACCUCCUCGCUGUUGGGCGUCAGAAGAGCAAGAUUGACAGCCUCUACAUCACCAUGGAUAAGCGUCUCAUCCCAUGCAAGGCAAACCGCUUCCUCGGGGCAUGUGAUGAACUUUUCAAAGCACAUUUUGUGUUUAAUUUGUCUUACGAUGUGGCACUUGUGAAUUUUUAUACAUUCCUGCAGACAACAGUGUAUAACAUUGAUGUGGGGAAAAUGAAGGAGUCACCCAGAGUUAAAGACUUGAGAGCAAGACUGCUUAACCAGCCAGUAGCAUUCUCACCCUGUGAGUAAGAAGCUAUAACAAUGCUGACCUGUUUCAUGUGUUGAAAAACAAGCUAUUUACAGAGAAUUUUCAUGACCAUCAUCAUGCAUUCAGAGUAUUACAAAAUGCGGAAAGAUGUUUACUAAAAAUGUCUGCGCUUAAAUUUCAUAAACCGUUUCAUAUUCAAAGCUCAUACAAUGUUUUGGAUGGAAGUUUGUACAUUAUACCUUCAUUCACAAUGUUUUAAUUCAACUGACUGCA